CACCGCGGUUAUACGGGUGACCCUAGUAGAUAGCCCUCGGCGUAAAGCGUGGUUAAUAGUACUCCCGGACUAAAGUUAAACAUCUUCCCCGCUGUUAUACGCCCCCGAAGAAAGGAAGCCCAGUAACGAAAGUAACUUUAAAACAAUGAGCCCACGAAAGCCAGGGUA
rnacentral:rRNA from 1 species